UACGAAGGGGGCGAGCGUUGUUCGGAUUUACUGGGCGUAAAGGGCGCGCAGGCGGCCGCAUUUGUCAGGCGUGAAAGCCCCGGGCUUAACCUGGGAACUGCGUUUGAUACGGUGUGGCUAGAGUGUGGUAGGGGAGACUGGAAUUCCUGGUGUAGCGGUGGAAUGCGCAGAUAUCAGGAGGAACACCGAUGGCGAAGGCAGGUCUCUGGGCUGAAACUGACGCUCAUGCACGAAAGCGUGGGGAGCAAACAGG
rnacentral:rRNA from 1 species